rnacentral:sRNA from 1 species
GAGGGACCGAUUUAAACACUUCCCAGAC